GAUGAACGCUGGCGGCGUGCUUAACACAUGCAAGUCGAACGAUGAAGCCCAGCCUGCUGGGCGGAUUAGUGGCGAACGGGUGAGUAACACGUGAGUAACCUGCCCUUGACUCUGGGAUAAGCCCGGGAAACUGGGUCUAAUACCGGAUAGGAGCGCCUGUCGCAUGACGGGUGCUGGAAAGAUUUUUCGGUCAUGGAUGGACUCGCGGCCUAUCAGCUUGUUGGUGAGGUAACGGCUCACCAAGGCGACGACGGGUAGCCGGCCUGAGAGGGUGACCGGCCACACUGGGACUGAGACACGGCCCAGACUCCUACGGGAGGCAGCAGUGGGGAAUAUUGCACAAUGGGCGGAAGCCUGAUGCAGCGACGCCGCGUGAGGGAUGACGGCCUUCGGGUUGUAAACCUCUUUCAGUAGGGAAGAAGCGAAAGUGACAGUACCUGCAGAAG
rnacentral:rRNA from 1 species